rnacentral:rRNA from 1 species
AGCUCCAAUAGCGUAUAUUAAAGUUGUUGCAGUUAAAAAGCUCGUAGUUGAACCUUGGGCUUGGUUGGCCGGUCCGCCUUUUUGGCGAGUACUGGACCCAACCGAGCCUUUCCUUCUGGCUAACCUUUCGCCCUUGUGGUGUUUGGCGAACCAGGACUUUUACUUUGAAAAAAUUAGAGUGUUCAAAGCAGGCCUUUGCUCGAAUAUAUUAGCAUGGAAUAAUAGAAUAGGACGUUAUGGUUCUAUUUUGUUGGUUUCUAGGACCAUCGUAAUGAUUAAUAGGGACGGUCGGGGGCAUCAGUAUUUAGUUGUCAGAGGUGAAAUUCUUGGAUUUACUGAAGACUAACUACUGCGAAAGCAUUUGCCAAGGACGUUUUCA